rnacentral:rRNA from 1 species
UACGUAGGGGGGCAAGCGUUGUCCGGAAUUAUUGGGCGUAAAGCGCGCGCAGGCGGUUCUUUAAGUCCGGUGUUUAACCCUUGGGCUCAACCCAAGGUCGCACGGGAAACUGGGGGGACUGGAGUGCAGGAGAGGAAAGUGGAAUUCCACGUGUAGCGGUGAAAUGCGUAGAGAUGUGGAGGAACACCAGUGGCGAAGGCGACUUUCUGGCCUGUAACUGACGCUGAGGCGCGAAAGCGUGGGGAGCAAACAGG